rnacentral:misc_RNA from 1 species
UGGUUCUGGCAUCGAUGAAGAACGCAGCGAAAUGCGAUAAGUAAUGUGAAUUGCAGAAUUCAGCGAAUCAUCGAAUCUUUGAACGCACAUUGCGCCUCCGGGUAUUCCCGGAGGCAUGCCUGUUCGAGCGUCGUUUAGACCAUGAGGCUCUGCCUUGCGAUGGCACCUGGUACCCGAAGGGGUUCCAUCUGCCCAAACACAUCGGCAUGCCGAAGUUGGCCCAGCACAGCACAAUGUGCCGAGGACGACGGAGGGAUGCCUGUACCACGGCGGUCUUCGACUUCGCGGUCAUGGACCGCUCCACGGGUCGACCUCGGAUCAGGCAAGAUUACCCGCUGA